rnacentral:rRNA from 1 species
GUGAGGAAUAUUGCGCAAUGGAGGCAACUCUGACGCAGCCAUGCCGCGUGCAGGAAGAAGGCGCUACGCGUUGUAAACUGCUUUUAACCGGGAAGAAACCCCAGGACGUGUCCUGGGUUGACGGUACCGGAGGAAUAAGCACCGGCUAACUUCGUGCCAGCAGCCGCGGUAAUACGAAGGGUGCAAGCGUUAUCCGGAGUCAUUGGGUAUAAAGGGUGCGUAGGCGGAGCGUUAAGUCAGUGGUGAAAUCCUGCAGCUUAACUGUAGACUUGCCCGUGAGACUGGCGCACUUGAGUGCGAUGGAAGUGGGCGGAAUGUGCCGUGUAGCGGUGAAAUGCUUAGAUAUGGCACAGAACACCAAUUGCGAAGGCAGCUCACUAAGGCGAUACUGACGCUGAGGCACGAAAGCGUGGGGAUCGAACAGGAUUAGAUACCCCAGUAGUCC